ACUCCUACGGGAGGCAGCAGUGGGGAAUAUUGCACAAUGGGGCAGCCAAGCCUGAUGCAGCCAUGCCGCGUGUGUGAAGAAGGCCUUCGGGUUGUAAAGCACUUUCAGUCGUGAGGAAGGUAGUGUAGUUAAUAGCUGCAUUAUUUGACGUUAGCGACAGAAGAAGCACCGGCUAACUCCGUGCCAGCAGCCGCGGUAAUACGGAGGGUGCGAGCGUUAAUCGGAAUUACUGGGCGUAAAGCGCAUGCAGGUGGUUUGUUAAGUCAGAUGUGAAAGCCCGGGGCUCAACCUCGGAAUUGCAUUUGAAACUGGCAGACUAGAGUACUGUAGAGGGGGGUAGAAUUUCAGGUGUAGCGGUGAAAUGCGUAGAGAUCUGAAGGAAUACCGGUGGNGAAGGCGGCCCCCCUGGACAGAUACUGACACUCAGAUG
rnacentral:rRNA from 1 species